ACUACCGAUUGAAUGGUUUAGUGAGGCCUCCUGACUGGCGCCGAUGCUCUGGCGACAGAGCGCCGGAUGCCGGAAAGUUGGUCAAACUUGAUCAUUUAGAGGAAGUAAAAGUCGUAACAAGGUUUCCGUAGGUGAACCUGCGGAAGGAUCAUUACCGAUGCAGUCCGACAACUCCGUUGUUUACCUUGUGAACAGUACCUAACUCUUAGGGGUCGGCAAGUCCGUUAAAUGGCGGUCGUACGUGUCUGCUGUCUGUUUGUUCCGAGAGAGGAUUGCGGACGGACGCGGACGCUCUGCAGCCCCGACCGUGUUUUUAACACGAACGAAGUGGGCUUUACUGUACGUCUGAUUUGGGUGGCCACUCCGUGCGUCACCGCGAGAGAGAGCAAAAACGAGAUACAACUUUUGACGGUGGAUCUCUUGGCUCACGCAUCGAUGAAGAACGCAGCCAGCUGCGAUAAGUAGUGUGAAUUGCAGAAUUCAGUGAAUCAUCGAAUCUUUGAACGCAAAUGGCGCUCUUGGGUUCUCCCAGGAGCAUGUCUGUCUGAGUGUCGGAUAUCAUCCAUCGCACCGCGGUGCGGCGUUGAGGCGUCACGGCCGGACGGUUACCGUACCGUGUCCCCUUGAAGGCAAGAGAGACCCGCGUGGCUCGGGCCGGUCCCCGGCAGACACGAUCGCGGAGGCUAAAAGCUGUUUUGCCCUUCGCGUGCCGGUGCGACUGCCGUACCAGGGUCGGUCGGAGGAGCGAACGCUAAAGGCUCUUGACCUCAGAUCAGCAAGGCUACCCGCUGAAUUUAAGCAUAUUAAUAAGCGGAGGAAAAGAAACUAACAAGGAUUCCCUCAGUAACGGCGAGUGAAGCGGGACGAGCUCAAAUUUGAAAUCUCCGGUGCCUGCACCGGCGAGUUGUAGUUGCGAGAAGCACUUUCUAGGCGGAUCGGUGGUGCCUAAGUUGCUUGGAACGGCAUGUCGCAGAGGGUGACAACCCCGUCUGUGGCGCGGCCGGCCGCUGACGAUGUGCUUUCGAA
rnacentral:rRNA from 1 species